GAUGAACGCUAGCUAUAGGCUUAACACAUGCAAGUCGAGGGACCGGCGCACGGGUGAGUAACGCGUAUCCAACCUGCCCAUAACUAAGGGAUAACCCAGCGAAAGUUGGACUAAUACCUUAUGGUUAUGGAUGGGGAGGCGUCUGAUUAGCUUGUUGGCGGGGUAACGGCCCACCAAGGCAACGAGCAGUAGGGGUUCUGAGGGGAAGGUCCCCCAAAGAGGAACGGAGACACGGUCAAAACACCUACGGAAGAGAGAAGUAAGAAAUAUUGGUCAAUGGAAACGAGUCUGCAGCGGUCAAGUAGCGUGCAGAAUGACGCGCUAUGGGUUGUAAACUACUUGUAUAAGGGGAUAGGUGCCAUAUAAAUAAGGACCGGCUAAUUCGAUGCCAGCAGCCGCGGUAGUUC
rnacentral:rRNA from 1 species